AUUGAACGCUGGCGGCAGGCCUAACACAUGCAAGUCGAGCGGAUGAGAAGAGCUUGCUCUUCGAUUCAGCGGCGGACGGGUGAGUAAUGCCUAGGAAUCUGCCUAGUAGUGGGGGACAACGUUUCGAAAGGAACGCUAAUACCGCAUACGUCCUACGGGAGAAAGUGGGGGAUCUUCGGACCUCACGCUAUUAGAUGAGCCUAGGUCGGAUUAGCUAGUUGGUAGGGUAAAGGCCUACCAAGGCGACGAUCCGUAACUGGUCUGAGAGGAUGAUCAGUCACACUGGAACUGAGACACGGUCCAGACUCCUACGGGAGGCAGCAGUGGGGAAUAUUGGACAAUGGGCGAAAGCCUGAUCCAGCCAUGCCGCGUGUGUGAAGAAGGCCUUCGGGUCGUAAAGCACUUUAAGUUGGGAGGAAGGGCUCAUAGCGAAUACCUGUGAGUCUUGACGUUACCAACAGAAUAAGCACCGGCUAACUUCGUGCCAGCAGCCGCAGUAAAAC
rnacentral:rRNA from 1 species